CGAAUCAGUGUUUUCCACCUGUUGGUCGGAAUUGUUCUACCUGUCCUAGGAGUUUCUGUGGUGAUUGUAAUACUUUGGAUCUGCAAUCGGAGUGGUACUUUAACAGAAUCAGCUACGACUCUACACAAAACUAACAUACCUGUGAUGGAGGAUACUGCAGACGAUGUCGGCGGUUAUGACACAGUUAGGGAAUCGCAGAUGGUUUUAGAGGUUCAGAAUAUAUCACGUGACAUCAUUAGCAACUACUACAGCGAAUCCGUGUAAUCCAUACAACAUGGCAGUGAGCCUCUGCGCACGAAGAGAUGAGCAGCCAAACACAGCUAUCGAUGAGAUGAGCAGCCCACAUAGAACUUUCCUUGCUCCUUGUAACUAUGAAUAAUUAAUGCAAAUUAGGUGACCUAUGACGUCGCAACAUUGAAGCGGGCCGUAUAUUGAUACGACCCUAUCAGGUAUGCGCAUUUCUAUUUUCAGACGGGAUUUUCCCUUUGCACAUGCGCACUGAUCAGAAAUUGAGAAAAUAUAAAUAAACGCUUCGUUGGAAUUUUUUUUAAUAGAAAUUGGUCAAGAAAUGAAUUUUUAAUGAAUUUUUUAAUAUUUUCGACUGGUUGUGAUUAAAGAGAUUGAUAUACUCCCAACUCGGUGAUUAAACUAAUAAUUGUUAUGAGGAUAUUUUGAUUUGAAUCUUCGAUUUUUGUAAGUAGCUUGAAUUUCCUCUGACGAUUAAGUUGCAGCAAGUCCGAUUCAGAGUUUUUUCCUCAUUUUCUGGGUAAAUCAUAUUUCCUUACAGCAAAUUUUGAGAAAAAUACUACUUCCGGUUGAUUGUUUUCAUUAUUAAACGUAUUUUUUGUUAGAUUUUUAAUUUUUUCUCGGCUUUUGAAAUGAUAUUUCAAAGAGAUUUGAUUCAAAUAUGCAUUCUUAUCUCUAAAGUUUUCAAAUUUCGGGAAUACACUUGAUUUUAGUUCCCAUUUCUAUACAAACCUUCAUAAAAUAAAAUAAAAUCAUCAGUUAUCUUCGUCAAGAUUCAAGAAUGACUUGUUCUGGCAGAUGGGGCAGUGCCUGUCUGAACUGUUUUACUUAUUGCCCCUACACCACAGUCAACAAUGUUUAUUGUCCACUUGCUUUCAUUUAUAUCAAAAAUUUAAAAAUCAUCUAAUGUGCUAAGCUAAGGGUGUUUUAUCCAGCCCUCUCCAUACAAUAUUUUGUACAAAGACUACAAGCUCUUGACUGAAGAGGGGGAAAUUCUAAUCCUGAAGAGAUUAUUUUGCCAAUGGCCUGUAUUGAGAUAUCAGAUUCCGUAACAAGGAAAUCAAAAUUUGCUGUAAGGUCAAAAUAAUUCUUUCAUUCGUUUGGCACCUAGCGCCCCCACUGAGCAUGUAACUAAAUUACUUCACCGUCUGAUAAUUCUUCUAUUUUUAAUUUCAUAUAUGAAUUUUCUUCUUGAGGUGGAUAAUGAAAAUUUUUCAUUUCCAACUCUACCUUGCGCCGUGUACGUAGCCUUACUAGACUCAGCUCAGGGAAGGUAGAAAUCGCCGAGACAUCGUUUACUGAAAAUUUACAUACACGUGCUUCCGCUUCUAAAAAUACACCGGAUGUUGAUAUUUUCGUACCUAUUUACCAAUCUCUACCCAGAGUUAUCGUUCCCGCUACGCUCCACUGUAGCGCAGCGUAAUGCGCCCUCUGGUGAGAGAUUGCCUAUUUACGUAUGGCGCAUGCCCCAAAACACGCAUAUUAAGUGCAUCCGGUAGGAACAUGAUUAGUUCAAGGAAAGUUCUAUGUGCAGCCAAACACAGCUAUCGAUGCAUGAUAAUUUAUCAUGAUCAGCGUUAAUAACAAUCUUUACAUUCCAUAUAUUUCAUGAAAGGAAAUAAAAUGUUCUUAGCUUGACAACAAGCUAAAUUUGUUGAAAUAAGAAUAAUUAUUCAUCAGAAUUCGAACGUCCUAUGAACUGCCCAUGUUACAUAUUACCAGAUAUCUAGAUUGAUGAACUGGAGGAUCUAGAAAGGGUUGCGGGGGUGACAUAUUACCGGAUAUCUAGAUUGAUGAAAUGGAGGAUCUAGAAAGGAUUGCGGGGGAUCUAGAAAGGAUUGCGGGGGAUCUAGAAAGGAUUGCGGGGGUGCCCUACUUUGAUUGAACAUCGUCAACAAGAGGUGGCAUUCUUCAACCCUCUUUUGUUUUUGUGCGGAAAUGGUACAAACUUGGAAUGUCCCCAUAACCGUUGAAAAUUUUCUAGAUCCGCCCUUCUUGAUGUAUCACUAUUUGGAAUAUUCGAGCAUAAACAUUAUUAUAUGAGUUUUAUUUGUUUAGUGUAUAUUCAACAAUAUUUGGCAUAUAUGGAGACGUCACGUAAAAUGCCACAUAGAAGUAAGUAUCACGCCUCUUCAUUUACUCCACCCCCACCCACCCCAUCACCCUCUUAUAAUGAACAUCAUUUACUCCACCCCCACCCACCCCAUCACCCUCUUAUAAUGAACAUCAUUUACUCCACCCCCACCCACCCCAUCACCCUUUUAUAAUGAACAUCAUUUUCAUAGAAUCUAUUGACCAACAAAACCGGAUGGAUUCGUUAGCUCUUGAUAACGAAUAAAAUCACUCAUACCUGCUACCAUUCCUAUCGACAGUCUGCUUAAUGUUUACAUACUGGAAGCUGAUGUACGCAUGUGCAAGUGAGAGUUUUGGAACAACCGUAUACACCACUCCGAAUGAUAGAACAUGAAUUCCAAACAGAACAUAAAUUCUUAGCAAUUUUAUUAAACAAAAACAAAAAAAUAAAGUAGCCUCAAUACUUAAUAUUCAUGAAUCAUUAAAUCAUAAAAGUGAAAUUUGAUUUCUGGAAUAUUUACGAGAUGGUGACGUCACACUAGACCCAGCCGUCUGCAGUACAGAGAAUGCGAAAGUACAAUCAUAAGAAAUAGAUGAAAUAAAGUUUGCAUUGUUCAAUGAAAACGUCAACAAUUAUUAUGUUACUUCAAGUUCAUAAUGCGACCGGGUAUUCCUACUUAUGAAAAUGUUUCGUUUCCGAGUUGCAACGCUCUUAUUACUCGGGGGUAGAAAAGCCUUAUGCUAUCACGUGACUUGCAAACUUCGUAUGAACUAUUCAUGGUUAGGCUACGAUAUCGACAGCGACAUCAACAAACGUCAUUCACAAAUUAUUGGUGCUUUGUUCCUGAGUGCACAUCGAACCGCGGGAAAAGGUGUAUACAAUAAGAACCAUCAGUGAGUAGUGAUGACCCGUUACCACCGGGAAAAAACAAGCUGUACUAGAAGUGGGUAGAGAUAAAAGGGUCCGUUAACUGUUAACCGUUCCGACAUUAUCGAGAGUGUUCCAAACAUUCUACUGACAGUCAUAAUGUUCCAAAAAUCGUUUACAUGGAACAAAUAUAAUCUUCACACAUAAUUUCGGAAGGUCGGUGGUCUCUUCCCAGGUACAUUGUAUCUGGGUUCUCUGAUCCACCAACAAAACCUGGGCGCCACCAGAUAACUGAAAAUGUGUUGAGUGUGGCGGAAAACAUCACAACA